rnacentral:lncRNA from 1 species
AUGUCUUUAUUCUUCCACCAAUCAAAAGCAAAGAUUCUGUGCCCCCUGCCCAACCCAGUUCCCCACGAGGCUCUCCUUGUUGCAUAUUCAUUUAAUUUAAUAACUAGAUUUUACUACUUAAGAGUAGGAGUAACUUUGUUUUCCAUUUCAAAAAUCAUAGGAUAGUCUACCUGUAUUAUUUGUGGGCUUGCCAAUUAUGCCAACCUUAUCAUUAUUAAGAUAUUGUAUAUCAUUGUUGUUGUUUUAUUUAAAAGGAAGUACAUGUCUGUGAAACAUUCCAAUAACACAGAAAUUAAAGAACAAAGUCCCCUGAAUUUUGAUGGGACUUAAGGAUCAGUGAAGAUUCAAGAUGGUUGUUGCUGUUGUUACUGGCGUUACAAACAGUGAUUUUACUUUUGACAAGGCCAUUUUGACAUAGCCAGAUAUAUGUGGCUGUGAAAGUUUGUCCUAUUUCAUACCUAUUAGCCAGACACUAUAAUUAGCCCUUUGGAUGUCCAUCUUUGCCAAUUAUUGUGACAAUUAAGUUAGGUAAUAUAUUCUAAGCACUUAGCAAAGUAUUUGGCAUAUAGAAGAUGUUAAAUACUUGGGAAUUUAUUAUUAUUUACAUACAUUGAUUUGUGAGGCAGCUAUUAUUAUCUGACAUCAAGGUUUAAGAUCUUGAGAUAAAUUUUCAAGGUCACACAGUGACUACUAGAGCUGGCCUAUGACUGAUACCAGAACUCUGUUUCCUCUUCUCUUCUACAUUGUUCCCCUAGUAGACAGAUCAAGAGGUUCAGAAUUUAAGAGAAAUCAGGAGAAAUCAGUUAUAGUGUGAAAAAGAUAACCUGCAUUGUUAUCCACCCGUUGGAUUUCAGCUCAGGUUCAAGAGGACAUCAGGAAGGAAUACAGAGUUAGAAACAAAUCUAAAGACUUUUAAACUUCUUUACUCUCUGGUUCUCUGUAACUCCUCAGCUUGCUAUGUUAGGGAAUACCAUGGAGGUAAAGUGACACGUAAACAUCACUUACACAAAUCAUGAUGGGAAUCAGACAUAUUGUUCUUUUAUUCAAGUAUUAUUCCUCUAACAAAAUAAUUUAUGGGAUAAUAAGUAGGAUUUUUUUCCUAGAAAGAUGUGGUAAUUCUGUAUGACUCAUUUAUUCAUUCAAAUAUUUCUUGAGUGCUAUUAUAUGACAGGCACUAUUGGUGCCAGGGACAGCCCUCAUGGAGCUUACAUUCUAGUGAAGAAAAUGAUAAAUUCUAUGAAGAAAAAUAAAGCAAGGUAAGGGCAUAGAGGGUGAAAUUGG